GAUCAUGGCUCAGGAUGAACGCUGGCGGCGUGCUUAACACAUGCAAGUCGAACGCUGAAGCUCCCAGCUUGCUGGGGGUGGAUGAGUGACGAACGGGUGAGUAUCACGUGAGUAACCUGCCCUUGACUCUGGGAUAAGCCCGGGGAACUGGGUCUAAUACUGGAUAGGACUGGCCAUCGCAUGGUGGUUGGUUGAAAGCUUUUGCGGUUUUGGAUGGACUCGCGGCCUAUCAGCUUGUUGGUGGGGUAAUGGCCUACCAAGGCUUUGACGGGUAGCCGGCCUGAGAGGGUGACCGGCCACACUGGGACUGAGACACGGCCCAGACUCCUACGGGAGGCAGCAGUGGGGGAUAUUGCACAAUGGGCGCAAGCCUGAAUACAGCGACGCCGCGUGAGGGAUGACGGCCUUCGGGUUGUAAACCUCUUUCAGUUGGGAAGAAGCCUUUCGGGGUGACGGUACCUUCAGAAGAAGCACCGGCUAACUACGUGCCAGCAGCUGC
rnacentral:rRNA from 1 species